GACACGGAACGGGGCUGGCUCAGGUCGCCUUCUUUCACCUUGUUUUGGACCGGGUGAAAAUCCUAGCCCCCAAUGCACGCCUCCUCCUCCUCUCCCAUCCCCAAUCAGCACCUCCUUCCUCCUUCCCCAAUCCUCUCCUCCUCCUCCCGGCCAGCGCCAUGGAGGCCAUGUGCUCCGACUCCGGUCCCCGUUUGGCGCGUCGAGGGCGGCGACCGCUGAGCCACCCCGGUCUGACCACCGGACACUCGGGACGGAGCGGCGCGGCGACACCGGACGCUCAGGACGGAGCGGCGCGGCGACCAGGCCGGCGCAGUGCCGGGAGGCGCGAUGACGGCGGUUCUGGGCAGGAGAGGAGGAGGUGCGACGACGGCAUGGUGGAGAUCGAGGCGGCGGCUCGGGGAGGACAGGAAGAGGUGCAGGAGAGAGAAAACGAAUCAGGAGGCAGGGAUUGGUGGUUGAGUUUGUAGAUCGACGGCUUACUUAUCCCAUGCUCUCACCGUCGUCGAUCCAGCCGCCUCCUGAGUCUCUCCGUCAUGGCGCGAGUGAGCUCCAGAUCGAGCGGGGGCGGCCGUGAGCGGCCGCGGCGUGCUCCGGCUCAGGGAAGAGGAGGCCGGCGCGAGCUCGGGAAGGGCGGGCGCAGGCGGGCGGGCUUGGUUGGGCGCGGCGAGCUCCGGCUCCGUCUCAUGGGGCAGGUGGAGCAGCACGACGCCGGGGCUCCAGCUCGUGGAGAAGAGCCGGUAGACAGAGGACGGCGAGCGACGACGCGGAGGUACGUGUGGCGUCAGGACAAGCAAGCGAGGGAUGACCAAGCCAGAUCCACCUUCAGGUUUGUGCAGAGGCAACAGCAACACAUGUUUGACAUAAUCAACCUGUAGAUUUGGUACUAUAUUGGUUUGAAGAUUGUGUCGGAUCCACAAGAGAGGCAAAAUAUGGAGUGGAAACUACAGUCCAGACACUGCAGGCUUUGAAAGAUUUGGAUGGAGCACAGAUCGGGAUGCUCCCGUUCAUCUUUGGUUUGUUCCGAGCGCAUCGCAGUGCCUAGCUCCACCUGUCUACCUACUUCCUCGUUGUUCUCCUGCUUGCAGGAUCCCAUCUUGAUUUCCGAUCUCAUUAGAUAAGAGUCACAUGAGGGUGAUUUGAGCAAAGAGUUGAUGUCCCUUGAUGUUGUAUGCGAUGUGCAGCUGCAGAGGUUCAGUCCAUGCAUCUUCUGCAAGGUAAAAUUGUACAUGGUAAUAUGGUGUAUAAUCCAGAUGGUGCCAUACAAGCUAUCAUUUGUAUUUGUUCAUGGGGAGCCUUUUGUUGCAGAGUAUGCUCGUAUCCGACCAUCAGCUUGUGAAGGGAUCAUAAUAUAUGCCACCUCUCUAUACUGAACACGAUUGGAUUCUGAUGUAUCCUAGCAAUACUCCUCCCUACCCUCCUCUCACUUGUUCAGGAGAAAAAGGGGAUGUAUACAAGGGCUGCUUCUUCCACCGAAUCAUCAAAGGAUUUCAUGAUUCAGGGUGGGGAUUUUGCAGGAAAACAAUGUCUGAAGAGCAUUAGUGGCCUUUGUUCAGCUUUUUCUCUUCAUCUAUUCGGCAGCCGCUGUUGGUGGACAACGGCGGCCUCAGGUGGUGCAUGGUGGGUCCUGCCAAGUCACCGACACGAUUUCUCCCACGCAGGUGACUGGCAGCUGGGCAACGCCGCGGCCAUUGAGCCGAAGGUGGCUGAGCGCCAGAGCUCCCAGCUUAGGAAGACGACGCGACGGGAUGGCGCAGCACCACGGCCUUUAGCACCCUUGCCGUUAGCAGCCUGCCCCUGUCAUAAGUCCUCUCGCGACCUAUUGGUUCUUCUGGACGAGAUGGUCAUCUUGCUAGGUUUCGGAGCCCUGUGGGCCUCUUCGCUACUCGUCCUCGUCACCCUCUCUGCACCAGCAUCUCGCUUCCUUCUUGCUUCCAGUCAGGAUGGGAGGCUUCUAUUUAGGAGGCGCUCAUGGUACUAGGUCUCCAUAGACCUAGCUGUUUCAGAAUGGGAACAAGGGAACCAUUGGCUUCAGUCUUUCGUAAGAAUGGCCUUUGUGGAGCGCAUCUUGGAAGAGGUGGAGGCGUGCGGAUCGAGCCGGAUGGGGUGGCCACCGUGGCACGCGGACGAAGGAGGAGCUCAAGGAGCAUGUCCCAGAAGAGGGCGUCAGCGGUGGCACGCCAAUCGACUCCACCGCAUCCUGGGCCUCGAGAUCUUCUCCGGCAAGACCAGGGGAGCUUCCAUGGCAAGAAACAUGGUCAAUGACUCCAGGGUGACGUGGAGCUCCAGGCCAAGGUAACGAGCAAAUUCUUCUUCGAGGUUGAGAUCGGCGGGAAGCGCGUGGGCAAGGUGGUCAUCGGGCUCUUCGGCGAGGUCGUCCCAAAGAUGAUUGACAACUUCCGUGCCCUGUGCACUGGAGAAAAAGGGGAUGUAUACAAGGGCUGCUUCUUCCACCGAAUCAUCAAAGGAUUUCAUGAUUCAAGGUGGGGAUUUUGCAGGAAAACAAUGUAAGAACUAUACACCAUGUGAACUAGCCAGUUUACUUCAUUCCUACUCCUCCUUACUAUACAACGUAUAUCAAUUUGAGGAAGAAUAAAUUGUCAGGUUCCCCGUUGUUUCAGAUGGUACUUUAUGCAACAUUUAUCCAUUGC